ACUCGAGUGGCGAACGGAUGAGUAACACGUGGGUGAUCUGCCCUGCACUUCGGGAUAAGCUUGGGAAACUGGGUCUAAUACCGGAUAGGAGCCAUCUUUAGUGUGGUGGUUGGAAAGUUUUUUCGGUGUGGGAUGAGCUCGCGGCCUAUCAGCUUGUUGGUGGGGUAAUGGCCUACCAAGGCGGCGACGGGUAGCCGGCCUGAGAGGGUGUACGGCCACAUUGGGACUGAGAUACGGCCCAG
rnacentral:rRNA from 1 species